UACGAGAGGCCCAAACGUUAUUCGGAAUUACUGGGCUUAAAGAGUUCGUAGGCGGCGCAGAAAGUAGGGUGUGAAAGCCCUCGGCUCAACCGAGGAAUUGCGCCCUAAACUACUGUGCUUGAGGAACCUAGAGGUGAGCGGAACUGAUGGUGGAGCGGUGAAAUGCGUUGAUAUCAUCAGGAACACCGGAGGCGAAGGCGGCUCACUGGGGGUUUUCUGACGCUGAGGAACGAAAGCCAGGGGAGCGAACAGG
rnacentral:rRNA from 1 species